AGGCCUAACACAUGCAAGUCGAGGGGCAGCAUAAAAAUAGCUUGCUAUUUUGGUGGCGACCGGCGCACGGGUGAGUAACGCGUAUGCAACCUACCUUACACAGGGAGAUAGCCCGAAGAAAUUCGGAUUAAUAUCCCAUAGUAUUAUCGAAUAGCAUUUUUUGAUAAUUAAAGCUCCGGCGGUGUAAGAUGGGCAUGCGUCCCAUUAGCUAGAUGGUGAGGUAACGGCUCACCAUGGCAACGAUGGGUAGGGGGCCUGAGAGGGUGGUCCCCCACACUGGUACUGAGACACGGACCAGACUCCUACGGGAGGCAGCAGUGAGGAAUAUUGGUCAAUGGGCGCAAGCCUGAACCAGCCAUGCCGCGUGAAGGAUGAAGGUUCUAUGGAUUGUAAACUUCUUUUAUUUGGGAAUAAACCUCUUUACGUGUAGAGAGCUGAAGGUACCAAACGAAUAAGCACCGGCUAACUCCGUGCCAGCAGCCGCGGUAAUACGGAGGGUGCAAGCGUUAUCCGGAAUCAUUGGGUUUAAAGGGUCCGCAGGCGGAUGUAUAAGUCAGUGGUGAAAUCUCUCGGCUCAACCGAGAAACUGCCAUUGAUACUGUACGUCUUGAAUUCGGUCGAAGUGGGCGGAAUAUGACAUGUAGCGGUGAAAUGCUUAGAUAUGUCAUAGAACACCGAUAGCGAAAGGCAGCUCACUAGGCCUGGAUUGACGCUCAGGACGAAAGCGUGGGGAGCAAACAGGAUUAGAUACCCUGGUAGUCCACGCCGUAAACUAUCAAUACUCGAUAUUAGCGAUAUACCGUUAGUGUCUAAGCGAAAGUGAUAGUAUUGCACCUGGGGAGUACGAUCGCAAGGUUGAACUCAAAGGAAU
rnacentral:rRNA from 1 species